GACGAACGCUGGCGGCGUGCCUAAUACAUGCAAGUCGAGCGAAUCGAUGGGAGCUUGCUCCCUGAGAUUAGCGGCGGACGGGUGAGUAACACGCGGGUAACCUGCCUGUAAGACUGGGAUAACUUCGGGAAACCGGAGCUAAUACCGGAUAAUUUCUUUUCUCGCAUGAGGAGAGAUGGAAAGAUGGUUCUGCUAUCACUUACAGAUGGACCCGCGGCGCAUUAGCUAGUUGGUGAGGUAACGGCUCACCAAGGCGACGAUGCGUAGCCGACCUGAGAGGGUGAUCGGCCACACUGGGACUGAGACACGGCCCAGACUCCUACGGGAGGCAGCAGUAGGGAAUCCUCCGCAAUGGACGAAAGUCUGACGGAGCAACGCCGCGUGAGCGAAGAAGGCCUUCGGGUCGUAAAGCUCUGUUGUUAGAGAAGAACAAGUAUCGGAGUAACUGCCGGUACCUUGACGGUACCUAACCAGAAAGCCACGGCUAACUACGUGCCAGCCGCCGCGGUAAUAC
rnacentral:rRNA from 1 species